AUGACCGUGACGCUCGAGGAUGUCUCGUUGAUCACCGGUCUUGCUAUCGACGGGAGGCCUCUAUGUAUGAGCACCGAUUCUGAUGGGUGGCACGAGCAGAUGAUUGCUCUUAUCGGUAUGGCUCCUACCGAGGCUGAGGAUGAUGUAGAGGAGGGAGAAGAGAAGAAGAAGAGGGAAAGGAAGGCAGCCGGAGCUGCUUUCACAUGGAUUCAAAAUAACUUUGCGACGUGCCCUCCGGAUGCAACUGAUGAUGUGAUACAGACACAUGCUCGUGUGUAUAUGUGGUACAUUGUGUCGAGGACUUUGUUUCCUGACUCCACUGGCAAGAACGCUCCAUGGAUGUGGCUGAAGGCGUUGACCGUCUUCGAUAGAAAAUGGAGCUGGGGUUCAGCGACUCUUGCCUACUUGUACCGACAGGUAGUUGGUCUGUUUUGUGAUCAACUCAUUUAUUCAUUAGCAAUGCAAGCUUGCUGUCAAGUUAACAUUGUUUUUCUUUCAUAUGUAGCUGGAUGA
rnacentral:rRNA from 1 species